AAGAAAUAACCAUCUUAAUGGAACCAUUGACGUCGGAUCUAGCUUCAGCAACCAACUCCAGCUUGUAGAUUUGCAGAGCAAUAACAUAUCAGCCCCAGUGCAACGAGCCGGAGACAAUUCUGAGAUAAUACUUAUCGGCAACCCUUAUUGUGAGAGUGGAGGGACUGAAAAAUACUGUACCCUACCUCAGCAGUCUAACUCUUCGUCCUAUUCAACGGAGACAAAUAACUGUGUGCCUGCUCUGUGUAGUUCAGAUCAAAGAUCCAGCCCUAACUGUAUAUGUGCAUAUCCAUACCAGGGACAUUUGUAUUUUAAAGCUCCUUCCUUCUCCAACCUAGAAGAUCCAAGUUUCUAUACAUCUCUUCAGUCAUCCAUGAUGUCAUUUUUUCAGUCCACUAGACUCCCUGUGGAUUCAGUUUCCUUGAGUGAUCCAACAAAAAAUCUGGAUGAUUACCUUGUAAUCACCUUGGAAGUUUUCCCAUUAGGGAAAGAUCGCUUUAACCGUACAGGAAUUUCUUCUUUAGGGUUUGUGUUUAGCAACCAAACUUUUAAGCCGAAUAAAACUGUUUAUGGGACUUACUACUUCAAUGCUGAUAACUAUGGCAUGUUUACCUCAGGUAAGUAAUGUUUUGACACAGACACUAAAAGAAGUUGGUCAUACUAUGUUAAACUGGAUCUUUUGACUCUGCGAUGUGUGAUGGACUUGUCCAGAUGUAACCAGGAGGACAAGCAAGUCAUCUAGUACCGGCAUUGCAAUUGGAGCUGCAGCUGGUGGUUGUGUACUGGUGCUACUGUUACUUCUUGCAGGAAUUUAUGCUUUUCGUGAAAAGAAAAGAGCUAAAAGAGCUACUCAACUAAGCAAUUCUUUUGAUAAGAUCAUAAAUGAGCAAAUGUAGUAAUUCAGCCCUAAAUUACGACUUAACAUCAAAAGCUUGCAGGUUCUUGGGACUCUAACAGUAGCAGCACUGGCGGUCCUCAAUUGAAAGGAGCAAGAUGUUUCUCAUAUGAAGAUCUUAUGAAAUGCACUAACAACUUCUCCGAGGCUAAUGCUAUUGGAUCUGGUGGUUAUGGGAAGGUAUAUAGAGGAUCUCUUCCCGGUGGGAUGCUGGUUGCAAUUAAAAGAGCAGAUCAACAAUCUAUGCAAGGCGGCCAUGAGUUUAAAACUGAGAUUGAGCUUCUCUCAGCCUCAUGGGUUUUUGUUUUGAGCAAGGUGAACAGAUGUAGGGCUGUAAAUACGGACUAUCCGGAGUCUUGGCUUAUAUCCGGCUGGAAAAUAAUACAUGUCUCAUAUCCGUUUUGAAAAUGAUCCAAAUCUGGCGGAAAAAUUAAGCCUGUAUAAUAUAUGAUCCCAGAUACGAGCACACCUAUGCCCGCUCAGAUUCGGUCUCAUAUAAUUUUUCAUAAUAGGAUCCUACCCGAAUACCCGAAAAUGAUCGACGAUUCAUAUUCGAUUCGAA